rnacentral:lncRNA from 1 species
GCAGCUCAGGCCCAACAAUCCUACGUCAACGACAGCCAGUUUAACUGUGAAAACCACUUCAAGGAGACGGAUGGAUUCCAGUGCAACGGCCCCAGAUCAUGCCUUUCCUACCUCACCUUCUGAUCUGCCCCUCCCUAUGACUCCCCACGCUCCAUAUCCUCUCUCUUGAACUCUGACCCAGCUCAGAUCGCCUGUAUUAACCAAGUAUCCGUUGAUGACAAAAUCCCCCCUGCACAGAUCCCUCAUUGUCCCAGUCAAUUGUUCCUGUUCAGGUGACUUCUAUCAGUACAACGCCUCCUACACCGUCAAUGCUUCCGACACUUACUUCUCCAUCGCCAACAACAUCUGCCAGGGCCUCACCAACUGCCAGGCCCUCAAGGCUCAGAACCCCUCUCAUAAUAGUAGUGGGUAUUUGUCGGAGGAUAUGGAUCUGCUGAUUCCGCUUAGGUGCACCUGCCCCGUCGACGUUCUAAUCAGCUCCGGAUACAACUACUUGCUCUCUUAUAUCAUCAAUAUGGGCGAGAACAUCUCUUCCAUCGCCCAAACCUUCCAUGGGGAGAAAUGGACCAUAUAUGCUGAUAUAAAAAAAGGUUGGAUACAAUGGAGAAAAGAAACACUCUCAAACACUCACUUUGAUACAAUAAAACUCUCAAAGUUACAAAAUAAGAAGAAGAAGAAGAAGAACACAUGAAAGACUCAAACAAGUUCUUGGAACUUUGUCCAAAGACUCUAUUUCCUCCCACCUCUAGAAAUCUUUAGGGAACUUAAUGGAAAUAGUCUUGGGAUUGAUCAAGUCUUUUCACUUUUCUGCAUAAGAUUUCAAAAAGAAGAAAAGUCAUAUAAAGCACUCUUAGGGUUGAAAAAAGGUUACAAGGAUGAGAAAAACCCAUUGUCUUCCUCAAUCUCUUCAUUUUUGUAACAUUCAAAAAUUAAAUCAUAUGUUUAAUUCACACAUUAAAUAUGAUUUAAUCUCAAAUGUGUAAUUCUCGUACACUUAACCUCUUAAGUUUAUAAAGUUACAAAGAUGAGAAGACUCAUUGUUUUCCUCAACCUUUCAAGUUUUGUAACAUUUCAAAACUUAAUCAUGUGUUUAAUUCACACAUUAAAAGUGUAACCCUUCUUACACUUUAUUUUCAAAAGUUAUUUGUCAUAAGUGUAACUCUUCUUACACUUUAUUUUUAACCAACAAUAUAUAUAUAUAUAUAUAUAUAUAUUUAUUUAUUUAUUUAUUUAUUUAUUUAUAUAAAUAUAACAUAUGCUGCCAACGACUUGCCUUACUCGGACGAACAGAUUUUCUCCUCCACCGCCCUUCUUAUCCCACUUAAGGAUCCUCCCACCGCUUUCCAUACUCGACGGACUUCGAAUUGUGUCCCGAAUGAUGCUAUACUAUAUGAAAUUUUUUAAUUUAGUGUUUUAAUUUUCCACAUUUUGUAAUUGAUAUGGUUUUUGAGUGAUAAGAUAAUCAGUUUUUCUAUUAAUUUCAUAAUAUCAAGAUAGGAUGAGACAAGUUAAUUAUAGUUUUCAAAAUUUUGUAAUUUUAUUAGUAAGGAAUAUAGGAUAAGAGAUUUUAAAAUACAUUUUAUUUUGCACGAACCUUACAGCCAUGGGAUCUAAACCUCGGGUGCUGAUCACAUCACAAUAAUCAACAUCUAAGUAAAUUCAUGAUAUCAUUAAUGGUAGGAUUCAAAUCUAGGGAUCACACUUCUCUGUGUUUGCCUUGACCAAUUGGAUCAACUUAACAUGUCAUGAUAUUAUUAUUAUUUUUCACUAUUUUCUAUAAUUUUUCUCUUAUUUUUAUUGCUUUCUUUUAUCUUUUCAAGUUCUAUUAAAUUUAAUCUAAACUUUCACAUUAAAGACUAUAGAAGUCAAGGGUCUUUGUUAGGGUAAGGAUUAGGCCAAUGUCAAAGAAGAAAAAGAUGGUGAUAUUUUUGACUCUUUACACACAAAUGAUUGCAUUCUUAUUGUGCUCUCUUCCAUACAUUGAAAAAAUCAUAAAGCUUUUUGGUAAAUUGAAAUAAUAUGAUAUAGAAAAUAAAUAAAAGAUACAAGUAAGGCAUAGUGGAGUGGACUUAAGUCUUAGCCAGAGUCCCCACUCCCACUCCUUAACUCUCUAUCUCAUCUUCAGGACUCAGGGUCAACCACACUCUCAAAUGAUUCGUACUCAAUCGAAAAAUGCAUUGACAGAGAUGCACGAUAUACAUUGCCGCCUCCCUAAGAUCAUGAUUUAUGUAUAUUAAGUUAAAGAUGAUAUAUGUAUCAUUUAAUCUAAAAUUAUAUAAAAUAAUAAAUAUUUUUUAAUCAUAUCAAAAUGGGUCAUGUAUACAAAAAAAAAAAAUACAUCUAAUUACUUUAUGAAACUUAUGUUCAAACUAGCCUCUUUGGUGUCACGUAGGAAUCAUGUCAUAGAAAUAUAUAUAUUUCAAAAUUUUAGUUAAAACCUUAAUUGGCAACUGAGACUUCAUUUUUGAAUUGAAGUCGCAGUUGUCAAUUGAUGCUUUAUUUUUUAAUUGAAACCUCAAUUGACAAUUGAGACUUCAUUUUUGAACUAAAAUCUCAAUUGUCAACUAAAAUUUUAGUUAAUUUUUUUUUUCACUUUAAAAUUUAAUUAAAAACUAUUCAAUUAUAGUUUAUUAUUGAAAUUAAAAAUAUAUAUUUUAAUAGUAAAUUAUUUAUGUUUAAGUUUAAGAAUCUAGUAUUACUUCAACAAACAUAAAUUGAUAGAUGGAAGAUAUUAUAAAUGAAUAUUUUAUUUAUUAAUAAAUUAAUAAUAUUAAAAUUAUAAAUUUAUAUAACAUAUAAAUAAGAUAUAAUUUAAAAUGAGAAAAUACACAAUAAACAUUUAUAUGCUGAAGCCUCAAUUAACAACCACAGUUUCAGUUAAAAAAUAAAGCCUUAGUCACCAAUCGAGGUUUUCAUUAAAAUUUUGAAAAAAAUUAUAUUUCAAUGACAUGGCUCCUACGUGAUACCAAAAAGGCAAAUUUGAACAUAAAUUUCAUAAAGUGGUUACAUCUAAUAUUUUUUUUAAUACAUGGGCCAUUUUGGCCUGAGACUAUUUCAAAUGAGAAUCUACAAACACUUUUUUUCCCAAGUACACACAUGGCUUCUAAUAAUUCCACUUUAUGUUGAGAUGAGUUGAGAGAUUCAUCUCAACUCAUACUUCUCACGUUUUCAGAAUUUACAUACGAUUCUUUCAAAAUUUUGGAUGAAUUUAUUUGAAUUUUAAUUUCAAGUUGGUGUUAUUUUUGUGAAUUUUAGAGUUUGUUUGACAGUAUGAUUUAAAAACAGUUUUCUAUUUUUAAAAAUAGAAAAUUAUUUUUUAAAUUUUUUAAUAUUAUCCGAUCGCUGUUUUUUGGAAAUAAUUUUUAAAAAUAAAGUUAAAUAGAGAAUAAUUUUUAGAAAACAAAUAGGAGUUGUUUACAUCUUUUUUAAAAAACAAAAAGAAAACAUAAACCUGUUUUGUCAUAUUUUUCGAAACUUGUUUUAAAAUCCGUUUUUAAAUGUUCAUAUUUUAAAAUUGAUUUCCUUUUUUAUUUUUAUUCAUAACAUUUCUUUUCCUUUUUUUUUCCAAGGCUCAUUGAUCUCCUUUAAAGGUAACUCUUUCCCUUUCAUUUUAAGAUAAAGAAUUCAAUUUUCAAAUAAGAUAUCAUAAGAAAAUGGUGUACAUGAUAGUAUCUAAUUAAUGGGGUGUUUGGUAAACCAACUUAAUAACUUAAAAAAGUGAUUUAAUAACUUAAUUUAAGUUAUUAGGUAAAUUAAAUAUAUUUGAUAAAAUAACUUAAUGGUAUAACAUGAAGUAAAAAACAACUCUAAGUAAUAAGUAAAAAUAAUUAACUUAUUUAUAAGUCUAUUUACUUUCAUGAUCUCCUUUGCUAUUCUAUGACCUUCAUUAUUACUUGACUUUCUUUACCUUAAUUAUGAUUUAUGAUGAUAAAUAUGUCAAUUUGAUAAUUUAAAAUAAAUUUUAAGUUAAUUUUAUCAAACAAUUUUAAUACUUAAAGUAAGAAUUAAGUAAUAAAUUUUAAGUUAGUAACUUAAAUAUAAUUUAACUUAAAAUCAACUUAAGUCAUUAAGUAAUAAGUAUUAAAUUUUACCAAAUAUAUACUAAGUUUCAAGUAAAAAUUAACAUAAAAAGAAAUGAUUUAAACAUUCCUAAGACAUUGACCUAACUAUAUAAACAUUGAAGCUUAUAAAAAAAGAAAAGAAAAGUAAAUAUCAUGUUAUUAAAUUAAGGAAAAAUUCUAAUUCCAUUGAUAUAAUAGGGAUUUAAGAGCAGUAGGUUGUAAUCUUCUUCAAUAAUAGUGAAAGUUCUUUUUUUUUCCUUUGUCUUUGUCUGUAGAUAUAGGUAAUAUAGGUUUUAGGCCGAAUCAUGUAAAUCGGUGUGUUAGAAGAACACCCAUGAAAGCCAGCUCCAUAAUGUCUUAACCCUUCUGUUUAAAUUUCAUUUUCAUUCAAAUUUAGCUAUCUGGAACAUCUUCUGUGCUUUAAAAAUCAUUGGCUGAUUAUGAAGGAAUUGAUUCGAAUUUAUGAUAUGACCAUUAUAUUAAGGAAAACAAUAUUUCCAUUCCUAACAAAAUAUAAUUAGGAGUAAGGAGAACCAAUGAAUAGCUGUAGAGAAAAAUCAGUAGAUUAUAAUGUAAGUAUAGUUGGAGUUUGACUCCCUCAUCUUUUCUUGCCAAUUCAGUUGUAUAUAAGUUAAAGUUCAAUGAUAAGUUUUUAUUAGCUAUUUGCAUUUAAGGGACUGCUAUACAAUAAUAUUUAGAAUGCCUGUGGCUUGAGUUAUUAAUUUUCUUUAAUGCUUUUGAUUUAAUCUAUUGCUAAACAACAAUUUACAUGAACCAUGCUUGUCACGCCCCACGAUCCACUCCAAGGGCGUGACAAUCAUUUCACACUUCAAACCCAAAGGCUUAUAGUGUAACCUGACCCAAACAAUUAUCUUGUAAUCGGAAGUUACCAAUUACCAAAUACCUGUUCAGAGUAACAGAACAAAAUCUAAAACCCUCAAAAUUCCAUUUCAAAACUAAAAAAUCCACCAUCCAAAAUCCAGUUUCCAAAUAUUUGCAAACUUAAACAAUUCAAGUACUAGAACAAAUUUCAAAAUCUCCAAAACUCAACUUUGAUCUAACAUAAAAUUUGAAGGAUCAAUAUCCAAAUAACUUCCAAAUACCAAAAGAUCUAAAUGAACACAACUAACAGUUGAACAAAAUCCAACAUAAAAUCCUAAUGAUGACCAUUCCUCAGCCUAGCCAUCACUCCUCUCCCGAACUAAGGGUACCUGAAAAGUAGUCAACAAAUGGGAAUGAGCUCACAGCCCAAUAAGGAACAUUAAUGCAGUCCAUGGAUCAAACAUUUCAAACUCACUUGCAAAAUAGGAGAUAUUGUAAUCAAUCAUUUUCAUAAAGUUGUGAGUAAUUUUUUUUUUUUUUUGCCAAUACAUUCAAAAUUUCUAAUUGUAUGCAUUUAUUUCUAAUUCAAAAAAUUUCAUAUCAAAUUUAGUCAAAACAUUCCAAUAAUUUAUUUACUCUGGUCAUCAAACAUCAAAGGGUGCCCAGUUAGGUGGGACUUUUCAAAUGGGUGGCUAGCCUCAAAUUGUUCCUUUAAGGUGGACGGAACCAAACACUACUAGUACUAGUAACCUCUAACCAAAACCUCUAGAGGCUGAGGUUCAAAUCAAUUACAUUCCCCACCAAGAAAUGUAAAGGUCAACUAUUAUAUCCCAUUGACAAGGGCAAAAGUCAAAAGUCAAUUAUUAUAUCCCGUUAACAAGGGCCAAACAAAUCAGAGUCAAAUAUUUAUUUCAUUUAUUCAAAUUUACAACAUAUAAUAUCUCCACAUUUAUUUAUCAAAAACAAAAUAUAAAAUUCUAACAUACUUUUCAUGCAAAAUAGGUUUGAUCCAUGCAUAAAACGGAAUAUAACUCAAACGUUUUCAAAUAAUGUAUAUAUAUAUAAAAUUGUUUCAAAAAAAGAAUUUAACAACUGCAUUAAUUUCCCUUACCUAAAAAGAAGUCCUCAAAAACUUUGGAGAGAAAAUAAUCCUAAAAAUCUACUCUCCACCUAACAAAAUAUAAGAGGAAAUAACUAUUACUAUUUAUCUAUAAUUUAACUAAUCUAUUCCUUAUUUAAAUAAAUUAAUAAAUUCCCAAUUUGUUUCUAAUAACACAAAGCCCUGCCAUUAUUAAAAAAUACGGUACUUAGUACUCAAGUACUCAUCAAAGUCUAACAAUAUGGAGUUCUGCUACUAUUAAAUAUUACAUACCCAAGUAUCCAUCAAAGUCUAAUAAUAGAGUAUGUGAAAAUCCACCAACUAGAUUUCAACCAUGAAAUCCUUACAAAAAAAAAAGUGGAUGCACAGUUCCCACACGUAUGCAACCAGUGCACAUGUGUUUUUUUUUUUUUUUUUUUUCUAAAAAACUUAAGGUCUCCCAAAUUCCAACAAUAAAUCAAAAUCUUAAAUUUUCACUAUUUGAUAUUAAAACGAAUAAAAAAAAAACUAACCUUAAUCUAGAUCGAAAUCUUCAUAGGAAUUUUUUUUUCUAAAAAAAAAAAACUUAAGAUCUCCCCAAUUCCAACAAUAAAUCAAAAUCUUAAAUUUUCAUUAUUUUGAUAUUAAAAUGAAUUAAAAAAAAAUAAACUAACCCUAAUCUAGAUUUGGGGUAUCCAAAAAAAAAAAAAUAUCUAAUGUGCUUGAAAUUAACUAAUGAAUCUAAAAUAAUAAUCUAGGGGUUAGAAUCUUACCUAUAGAGGUUUGUUCUUCAAACCUUGAAAUCUGACCUCAACUUCACGUUCUCUGGAAACUCUCUACGAACAGGAAAGCGAUUCAAAAAAGAACAGGAAGAAGAGAAUUUUCUAUUUAUACUUAAGGUAUUAUUUGUAAAAUUACCUUUUCACCUUUGUUCCAUUUUAUUAAAUUAAUUAAUUUAAUAUCAUUAUUAUGAAUUUUCUAAAUUACCCUUUUAAAAAAAAAACUUGGGCAUUACAUCCUUCCCUCCUUAACAAAAGUUUAGUCCUCUAAACGUGACAUACCUGAGUCUUGAAAUAAUUGAGGAUGCUUUUCUCUCAUCUCUUCUUCUAACUCCCAAGUGGCCUCUCGGAUACUAUGAUUGCUCCACUGGACCUUUACCAACUUGACAACAGCAUGUCGUAGUACCUUAUCCAUCACAUCCACAAUUUGAAUGGGUACCUCUUCAUAGGUCAAGUCCUCAGAAAUUUGAAUAGGCUCCAACUCCACAACAUGAGAGGGAUCAUAAAUAUAUUUCCUCAAGGUCGAAACAUGGAAUACAUUAUGAAUCUUAGAUAGACUUGGGGGCAAGGCCACUUUAUAAGCCAAAGUGCCUACUCUUUCUAAUACCUCAAAUGGUCCCACAAAACGAGGAUUGAGUUUCCCUUUUCUUCCAAAUCUCAUUAAAGACUUCAUAAGUGAAACUUUUAAGAAAACAUGAUCACCCACCUCAAACUCCAAAUCUCGUUUGUGAUUAUCAUCAUAACUCUUUUGUCUACUUUGUGUUGCUUUCAAUCUUUUCUUAAUUAAAGAGACCUUUUUAACUGUCAACUGCACAAGUUCAGGCCCCAAAAGUUUAUUCUCUCCAACAUCAUCCCAACAAACAGGAGAUCGACAUCUCCUACCAUACAACGCCUCAAAAGGUGCCAUCCCAAUGCUAGAUUGAAAGCUAUUAUUAUAGGCAAACUCCACUAGGGGCAAAUAAUCAUCCCAAUUACCUUUUAGAUCCAAAGAACAAGCUCUCAAAAAAUCUUCCAAGACCUGAAUUACCCUAUCUGAUUGACCAUCAAUCUGCGGAUGAAAGACAGUACUAAAACUCAACUUAGUACCUAAUGCUUUCUGUAAACUAUGCCAAAAUCUGGAAGUGAAACGAGGAUCUUUGUCAGAUACUAUAGAAACAGGUACACUAUGCAUUCUCACAAUUUCCUUAAUAUAAAGAGAAACCAAACGAUCCAUAGAAAAAUUAACUUUCAUAGGCAGAAAAUGAGCAGACUUUGUCAAUCGAUCAACAAUCACCCAAAUUGCAUUAUUGCCCCUUAAGGUCCUUGGUAACCCAGUCACAAAAUCCAUAGUAAUAUGUUCCCAUUUCCACUCGGGAAUAGAAAUUGGUUGCAAAAACCCUAUUGGUCAUUGAUGCUUAGCUUUCACUUGUUGACACACCAAACACUAAGCCACAAAUUGCGCAAUAUCUCACUUCAUUCCUAACCACCAAUAAUUCUGUCUCAAAUCUUGGUACAUCUUUGUCCCUCCUGGGUGGAUCGCAAGCCUAGAACAAUGAGCUUCCUCCAAAAGCUUUCUCCUUAAGUCUCCAUCAUUUGGGACACAAAGUCUAGUCCUAACCCUCAAAAUCCCAUCAUCUGAUAAAACAAAGUCAAGCUUACUGCCCUUUUUAACCUCUUCCAUAAGUUGCACUAAAUUCAAAUCAUUCUUUUGUAGGGCCUUAAUUCUCCUAACUAAGUAUGGUUGCAGUCUAAAGUUCGCCACAAGAGCUCCCAAGUCCAAAACUCUUAUAUGGACUCGCAAACUCCUCAAAUCUCCCAAUAAUUGCCUCUGAUAACCUCUAAUAGUUGAUAAGGAACCAACAGAUUUCCUGCUUAAGGCGUCAGCCACAACAUUCGCUUUCCCUGGGUGAUAUUGAAUAAUGCAGUCAUGGUCUUUAAGUAGUUCAAUCCACCUCCUCUGUCUCAUAUUCAACUCCUUUUGGGAAAAUAAAUACUUCAAGCUCUUAUGAUCUGUGAAUAUCUCACAAGUUUCACCAAAAAUAAAAUGUCUUCAGAUCUUAAGUGCAAAAACCAUUGCAGCUAACUCCAAAUCAUGAGUAGGAUAAUUUCGUUCAUAAGGCUUCAACUGCCUAGAAGCAUAAGCUACAACUUUCCCAUGUUGCAUAAGAACACAACCCAAACCCUGAUGAGAGGCAUCACUAUACACCAUAAACCCUCAUGAACCUGAAGGGAUAGUCAAAAUAGGAGCUGUCACCAAUAUGUUCUUUAACUCUUGGAAACUAUGUUCACAAUCAUCAGACCACUCAAACUUAACCCCUUUCUGAGUCAAACUGGUUAGAGGUAGGGCAAUCUUAGAGAACCCCUCAAUAAACUGCCUAUAAUAACCAGCCAGUCCUAAGAAACUUCGAAUCUCAGUCAUAGUAGUAGGUCUCUUCCAAUUUGACACAACAUCUACCUUUCCAGAAUCAACUGAGAUGCCAUCCUUGGACACCACAUGCCCAAGGAAAGAAACUUUGUUUAACCAAAACUCACACUUCUUGAGUUUAGCAUACAAUCGCUUAUCUCUGAGAGUCUGUAAUACAAUACUCAAAUGACGCUCAUGCUCUUCCCUACUCUUUGAGUACACCAAAAUAUCAUCUAUAAAAACUACCACAAACUGAUCUAGAUAGGGCUCGAAUACCCUAUUCAUUAAGUCCAUAAAAGCAGUAGGUGCAUUAGUCAAACCAAAAGGCAUAACCAAAAACUCAUAAUGCCCAUAUCUAGUCUGAAAAGUAGUCUUAGGUACAUCUUCACCUCUAACCCUUAACUGAUGAUAACUAGACCGAAGAUCAAUCUUAGAGAACACACAAGGACCCUGAAGCUGAUCAAACAGAUCAUCAAUCCGAGGAAGGGGAUACCUGUUCCUCACCGUCACCUUAUUCAACUCUAUAUAAUCAAUGCAGAGUCUCAUAGAUCCAUAUUUUUUCUUUACAAAUAAAAUAGGAGCUCCCCAAGGUGAAACACUAGGCCUAAUGAAACCCUUAUCUAACAACUCCUGAAGUUGAAUCUUCAACUCCUUAAGCUCCAUAGGUGCCAUCUUAUAAGGGGCCUUAGAGAUAGGAGUUGUCUCUGGUGCCAAAUCAAUGGUGAACUCCACCUCCCUCUCUGGUGGCAAGCCAAGUAGAUCCUCUGGAAAGACAUCAGGAUAGUCCCUUACAAAGGGGAUUUUUUCCAACUUUAAAUCAUUUUCCUCAUUCACAACAUAAGCUAAAAAGCCUUGACAGCUUUUCCUAAGCAAAGAACUAGCUCGCAAGACUGAGAUCACAUGCAGUGGUUUGUCCACAUGCUUCCCCUCAAAACUAAAAUCAGGCUGACCAGGAAUGCUAAAAGUCACUCUUUUCCCAAAACAAUCAACAGAAGCAUGAUAAGAAGCUAACCAAUCCAUUCCCAAAAUCACAUCAAAAUCUUGAAGGUCCAGAAGUACUAAGUCAACUGUCAUCUCUCUAUACCCAAUCAUCACAUAACAAUCUCUAAUUAUUUUAUCAACCACAACAGAAUCUCCCAAAGGAGUAGCAACAAAUAAAUCAAAGUCUAUAUUAUCAAUCGGCAUACCCAACAAACCAGCAAAAGAUAUGGAAACAAAAGAGUGCGUUGAUCCAGGAUUAAUUAAGGCUCUAGCAAAUAAGGUGUGAAUUCGAAGAGUACCUGUCACUACAUCAGACGUAGCUUGAGCAUCUCUAUGAGUUAUAGAAAAUACCCGCCCUUGAGCCCCGGGUUUCUGUCUAUCCUCUUUAUUCUCCUCCUUAGGCUUUCCAAAUACAAACUUCCUACUCUAUGGACAAUCCCAAACCAUAUGUCCCUAUUUUCCACAACCAAAGCAAGGUCCGGUCUCUUUAUAGCAUGGCCUACCCCCAUGCUUCUUGCCACAAGUAGGACAAAUUCCAUCUAAAUUUUGUGCUGCUUUUCCUUUAUUCUGGUUUCUACUUGGAGCAAACCUUUUCUGUGCUUGGUUACCAUGAGCACCAUCAUUUCUAUUCCUCUUCCUUUGUUGUUCCCUAUACUGGUGAAGCUCUUCAUUAUCAUUCUCUACAAUAAGGGUUCUAUCUACCACCUCUGAAUAAACACUAAGCUUCAGAAUUGAUAUCUUAUUCUUCAGAUAAGGCUUCAGUCCAUCCUGAAACUUUAAUGUUUUUUCCUCCUCAGUAGCAAUCAACUAUGGAGCAAAACGUGAUAGUUAGGUAAACUUAGCCUCAUAUUGGGCCACAGUCAAAUCCCCCUAUUCCAAACGGACAAACUCUCCCACCUUUUGUUGUCGAACACUGUCAGGAAAGUACUUCUUAUAAAAAGCCUCCCUAAACUGAUUCCAAACAAUAGGUCCCUGAUCCUCCAAAAGCCUCUUAGUCAUGCGCCACCAAUGGUCUACCUCUUUGUCUAGCAUAAAUGCUGCAUAUGAGGCUUUUUGCUCCUCAUAACAAUCAAUGACAUCAAAGAAUUUCUCUAUCUUCAUAAUCCAAGCCUCUGUGUCUGUUGGAUCUGAAGUACCAGAAAAGUAAGGGGUCCCAACUUCUUAAAGUUGUCAAAGGAGCUACCCCUAGUAGAUGAGGAUUGUCCUUGACCAUUACUUCUAGUAGCUCUAGCCUGACGCUCAACCAAGCCAGCCAAAGUCCCUAAAUAUCUAUAAAGUCCUUCAGUACUCAUAGGGGGCAAAGCCUCAGGUGGAGGAAGUAUAUCAUCAUUAGCCUGACUGUUUUGGGAAGAUGUAGGUCUCCUUGGUGGCAUGGUGUCCUAUAAAGCAACAUGUAUAACUAAAUUAGUCACUAAGAAGUCAAAUAAGCAAAUCAGAAUUGUAAGGAAUAAAAGGAAUCAGACUAGAUGAAGUUGAAACUUAAAUUAAUGCGUCACUCAUCUAUUCCCAAAGGUAAACUAAACAAGUUCCCAUCAAGAUCACAACCUAAUGCUCUGAUACCACUCUGUCACGCCCUAAGACCCACUCCAAGGGCGUGACGGUCAUUUCACACUUCAAACCCGAAGGCUUAUAGUGUAACCUGACCCAAACAAUUAUCUUGUAAUCGGAAGUUACCAAUUACCAAAUACCUGUUUAGAGUAACAGAACAAAAUCUAAAACCCUCAAAAUUCAAUUUCAAAACUAAAACAUCCACUAUCCAAAAUCUAUUGUCCAAAUAUUUGCAAACUUAAACAAUUCAAGUACUAGAACAAAUUUCAAAAUCUCAAAAACUCAACUUUGAUCUAACAUAAAAUUUGAAGGAUCAAUAUCCAAAUAACUUUCAAAUACCAAAAGAUCCAAAUGAACACAAUUAACAGUUAAACAAAAUCCAACAUAAAAUCCUAAAUCAAAUCCUAAUGAUGACCAUUCCUCAACCUAGCCAUCACUCCUCACCCGAACUAAGGGUACCUAAAAAGUAGUCAACAAAUGGGAAUGAGCUCACAGCCUAAUAAGGAACAUUAAUGCAGUCCAUGGAUCAAACAUUUCAAACUCACCUGCAAAAUAGGAGAUAUUGUAAUCAAUCAUUUUCACAAAAAAAAAAAGUGGAUGCACAGUUCCCACACGCAUGCAACUAGUGCACACGUGUUUUUUUUUUUUCUAAAAAAAACUUAAGGUCUCCCAAAUUCCAACAAUAAAUCAAAAUCUUAAAUUUUCACUAUUUGAUAUUAAAAUGAAUAAUAAUAAAAAAACUAAUCCUAAUUUAGAUCGAAAUCUUCAUAGGAAUUUUUUUUCUAAAAAAAAAAAACUUAAGAUCUCCCCAAUUCCAACAAUAAAUCAAAAUCUUAAAUUUUCACUAUUUUGAUAUUAAAACGAAUUAAAAAAAAUAAACUAACCAUAAUCUAGAUUUGGGAUUUUCCAAAAAAAAAAGUAUAUAUCUAAUGUGCUUGAAAUUAACUAAUGAAUCUAAAAUAAUAAUCUAGGGGUUAAAAUCUUACCUAUAGAGAUUUGUUUUUUAAACCUUAAAAUCUAACCUCAACUGCAUGUUCUCUGGAAACUCUCUGCAAAUAGGAACGCGAUUCAAAAAAGAACAGGAAGAAGAGAGUUUUCUAUUUAUACCUAGGGUAUUAUUUGUAAAAUUACCUUUUCACCCCUCUUCCAUUUUAUUAAAUUAAUUAAUUAAUUAAUUAAUUUAAUAUCAUUAUUAUGAAUUUUCUAAAUUACCCUUUAAAAAAAAACUUGGGCAUUACAAUGCCCAUACACGACAGAGAAAAGAAAGAUUCAGUAGUGCUUUAGACUUAAGAAUGGAAGAAUGAAAGAACAAAAUAUAACAAGGUUAAAAUUAUAUGGUCUACCCACAUUUCACCAUCAAAAUAUUGUUUUACGUUCACUGUAUAACAAUAGAAUCUCUUCCUAUACCUACCAAAAGUUAGAAUCUGUUCCUAAAUCUGUAGACAUCAUAGGGUAUUGCAUAAAUGUUGGCAUAUGCUGCAUUGGAAUUCUAACAUCAACCAUGAACACCAUAUUCUUGGACACCCCCAUCUGAUGUGUUGGAGUUCUAGGAUCAGGGUUCAACACCAUGUUCUUGGACACUCCAAGAGCUGGAUGAUAGUGAAUUGGGUUGUGAUGUUGAACAUUAUUAUAUUGGAUGUCGCUGCUGGACGCCCUCCCAGCUCACUACAAGGAAAAAGGUAUAUGGUGACAUUUAUAACGAGUCAUCAUAAACAUAAGGUGUCACUACAACAUAGCAUCACCUUCUCCACUGACACCAUAGAGGGUACCAAUUGGUGACGUAUUUGGAAGUGACACCAAAGUAGAUAAAUGGUGACCCAUUCAGAAGUGACACCAUAUAUUUCUAGUGAUGAUAGGGUGUCACAUUAAAUACAUCAUCUUUGAGUUACGAUGUCACAUUAAAUGCAUCACCUUUGAGUUAUGGUAUCACAUCAUUGUAAAUUAUUGUGGAAUAUAUGAUUGGUUUUAGUUGUUGAUUUUUGUAAUGCUUAUGAAUUGAUAAGAUUAACCUGUUUAUAUUUUGUCCAUAAAUAUAACAAUCAUAUUAUAUUUAACUCAUUUUUCUGUAAUGUUUUUGGAAUAACUCAUAAUACAUUGAUCAUCUAAUAAUAUUUGUAUAUCAAAUGUUCACAAAAGGAUAGUACGUCCAACAUAUCAAACCCAUCAAAACUAAAAAAGAAGAGUGAAUACAUACCAAAACAUGAUUUAGAAAUGUUAAAGAUCCCAAGAUUCAUGUAUACCUCCAUUUCAUAAGCAUAAAACCGGCUAACCAUAAAAUGACAUAGAAGUCCCAUCUAAAAAUCUAAAUUUCUCAGUUGUAAUUAAAGUAACGUUUAUGUCCUACAACGUAUGACAUAAGAGUUGCAUUUAAAAACCCAAAAUCUUGUUGCCUUCUUCUUUCUUUUUAUUCUCCAUUUCACCCUCCCAAGAGUGUAUACCUGCAUUUCAAAAUUUAAUGAGUUUUAGAGAUUUUUAUUGAAGAAAAUAAACAUGGAUCUAUGUUAUCAUAAAUGAACAAAUCUAAGAAUUAAUUUUUUUUUUCAAAUAGAAACAUUAUUCAAAGAAUAAGCAUUACUAUACAAUACCUAUGGAAAAAUUCAUGUAGUAGCUAAGGGACUCACCAUGCAUGGUGAUCAUGAUGCAUCAACAUGAUUCAUGAUUAGUUGUAGCACAAAAGUAGCCCAUUCUCCUCUAAUUUCAUCGAAUUCUACUUGAGAAUAUGUUUUUUUUAUUACCAAAUUGAAAUCAAAUAAGAAAAUAACAUUAAAAUGCAUAACAUUUGGAAGUCUAAAACUAUGUACAAUUCAUUAAAUAAGUAAUACCUUUGAAGCAAUAAUUGUAGGAUAAAAAAUUAUCUCUUUAAUGAAUCUCAUAACAAAGUAGCCACAUUCGAACCCUCCUUCUUGUCUUGGACACUAAUCGAUCAAUUAUAAAAUAACAUUAGUACUCACAUAUAUAAAUGGUGCAAAUGCAUAAGCUAAUGUGUAAAGAAAAAUUUUUGGAUGUCACCUGCACUAGUUGCUAAGAUGGCUCCCUCUUAGAUGUUUUCUUUGCAGAUAUUCGAAGAGCCCUAUGUAAAUAAGUUCAAUGGGUACAUUUUUAAAAUAGGUAAAUGUUAUAUGUUUUAAUAUAUAUAUAAAUAAUAAAAAAAAUGUGUUUGAGGUGAAUGUAUUUUUUUUUAUUUAAAAAUAAUACUAUGAAAAAUAAUAGGAAGAACUUACAUGUUUACGAUAUCCUUUAAGUCCUCACAUGGUUUGUGAUGCAUAGGGUCAAGAUAGUGGACUAUCAUUUUCCUUGGCUCAAGCACUAUCUAAAUAUAAACCCUUUAAGUCCUCAUAUCUAUUUCUAUUAACAAAAUAUAAAAACUUUCCAAAACUCAACUACUUAAAUAUAAAAAUAAAAUCAAAUAAAAUAUCUAGCUAAUUGGAUUUUAGAAACUAAAUAAACUGUAAAUAAACUAAAUAUAAAAACUAAAUAAAAUAUCUAUGCCCAUGAAUUAAUUGAAGAGGAUAGAAAGACAGAGAGAGAACAUGGCUAUGGUUAUGAUUUCCAUCUUAUCAUUUCCUGUCAAUACCACAUAUGCCCAUUUUAAGGUUGGACACUACUUUUGUUGCUGGACUUGGAAAGGGAACUUCAAAAUUGAAAACAUAAAUAAACCCUUAUGUAAAAAAAAAUAACAUUAAAAUAUAAUUGAGCAUUAAAAUAUUUACUCUCUUUCAUCACUUUCAUUUGAAUAUUAAUAAUCUCUUAUUGAGAUAGAUACUUACAAUUUAACAAAAUAGAAAUUCCUAAUAAUAAAAAAUAUAAAAUUUCUAUUUCUAUUAACAAAAUAUAAAAACUUUCCAAAACUCAACUACUUAAAUAUAAAAAUAAAAUCAAAUAAAAUAUCUAGAUAAUUGGAUUUUAGAAACUAAAUAAACUAUAAAUAAACUAAAUAUAAAAACUAAAUAAAAUAUCUAUGCCCAUGAAUUAAUUGAAGAUGAUAGAAAGACACAGAGAGAACAUGGCUAUGGUUAUGAUUUCCAUCUUAUCAUCUCCCGUCAAUACCACACAUGCCCAUUUUANNNNNNNNNNNNNNNNNNNNNNNNNNNNNNNNNNNNNNNNNNNNNNNNNNNNNNNNNNNNNNNNNNNNNNNNNNNNNNNNNNNNNNNNNNNNNNNNNNNNCAUGCCCAUUUUAAGGUUGGACACUACUUUGUGCUGGACUUGAAAGGGAACUCCAAAAUUGAAAACAUAAAUAAACCUAUGUAAAAAAAAAAAAAAAAAUAACAUUAAAAUAUAAUUGUGCAUUAAAAUAUUUACUCUCUUUCAUCACUUUCAUUUGAAUAUUAAUAAUCUCUUAUUGAGAUAGAUACUUACAAUUUAACAAAAUAGAAAUUCCUAAUAAUAAAAAAUAUAAAAAUCUCUAUUUCUAUUAACAAAAUAUAAAAACUUUCCAAAACUCAAAUACUUAAAUAUAAAAACAAAAUCAAAUAAAAUAUCUAGCUAAUUGGAUUUUAGAAACUAAAUAAACUAUAAAUAAACUAAAUAUAAAAACUAAAUAAAAUAUCUAUGACCAUGAAUUAAUUGAAGAGGAUAGAAAGACACAGAGAGAACAUGACUAUGGUUAUGAUUUCCAUCUUAUCAUCUCCCGUCAAUACCACACAUGCCUUCCCGGAUUGGUCCUUUUGGGGUUGGAUACUCUCAACGAAAUUCUAUAUCUCAUUCCCACUUAGAUACAAACAGAAAAAUCAUUCUUUUUUUUUUCCUCUCUCGUUUUUUAGAAAGGAUGAAGAUUAUGUGAUAGUAUAUCUUAAAAAAAUUCUGUACCUGUCAUUCUCACACAAAUACAUAUUAAAAAUCAUUCAUUUUUUCCUGUUUUUCACUUUUUUUUAAGGACUUGAUCAUGUGUUUGGUUUAGAUUAAAAAAAUCAAUUAAUCUAUAGUUUUUUCUUCCAUGCUAGAAGAUUAAACCUAAUUUUUUCUUCCCUACAACUCAAGAAAACACAAUUCACAAAAACCAUAAUACAAAGAUGUUGAAACAAUUAAUAUAAUGGCAUUAAUAAAAGAAAAAAAAUGAUAGAUCCAAGAGAUUUUGGGUUACCUGGGAGUCCACAAAGUGAAGAAUGUCGGUUUUGAGCGUGUUGACUAUGGAUGGGUGAGAGAAAAGGUUGAAGAAGAUCAUGAUUUUAUAUAUAGGAUUUAUAUAUUGAGAUUUUUUGGAUUGUGGGUGAGAUAUGGAAACAAUGAGAUUUUUAUAUAGUAUCCAUCAUUAUUUAUUCUAAAAGUGGGCUCAUUAAGUUAUAAUACUUAAAAAAAUUUAUUUUAUAUGAUGUCACUUCCCAAAAAAUGACACUAUAAAUAUAAAAUUAAUAUCAUCUAACUACCUCAAUUGAAGAUUUUUUAUAUGAUGUGUCACUUUUAUUAAUUAUAAACCCUAUGGUGUCAUUAUUUUAAAAGUGACACCGUAAAUAGUGACACCAUAAACUAUUUUUGUAGUAGUGGCUCCUAAUUCUGCAUAUUGAUGAUUCUCCACCACCAUCCCCAUCUGGUUCAUCAUGAAACCCAAAUCAGAUUCCACCACUCCGGUGCCUUGACAAUCCACGGGCACUUUGAUAUUAGAGCAACCCACAGUAGUCUCACUCAUCAGCCUCGCUUUUCCCUUCUUUGAAUCAAUCAUAUUCUGCACAGCUUCAUGCUUCUUAUCCAAUUUAUCAAUAAUUUCCAUAAGUUGUUCAUAGGAAAACUCAUCCACUCCGGUCUUGGUUUUGACAUUUUUUUCCUGCACCUCUCGCAGCUCAAGGUUAGUCUUCUUCUUGGUUUGGAGAACAUCAGAUAAAUCCAGUGUCCUCUUUCCGUGGUCUUUCUUCCUCUCCUUCCUAUAGUUUUCAAUUAUACCUUCAACUUCAUUGCGAUUUUCUGGCCAAAUGUCAGGCUGAGAAGACUCGGUGCCAUGGGCAUUAGGACCAUAUAGGAUCAUGCAUGCUUUAACAUCACACAGAGUUGACAAUGCGUGGAUCUUCUUCUUUAGACCCUUCUGUCUAUUUCGGAAAAUUCUGUACCGAGAUUUUUCAUUAACGACCAAUUCCAUUUUUACCUUGUGACCAACCAUAUUCUUUUCAAAGAGGAAAAGAAAAAGAAGAAGAAACAAUCAAAAUUCAAUUAGUCGUGGAUUCUUCUUUUCUUUUCUUUUCCUUUUUCCUACAAAAAAUGAUAAGGUAAAUAACCAGAAGAGAAAAUCUCGAGGAGAAAAAGAAAAAGGAGAGAGAUGAAGAAAAACGCUGAAGGAAAGGAAAGUACCUGGGAACUUCUUGAGACUGCCUCUGAUGUCAAUGGAAACAAGACACUUUCACUGUGCUAUUUAUGGAAUCUACUAAAAAAAUUUCCUGAUUAUGAAUUUGGAAACCUUUUAUUACCGUUAUCUAAAUCAAAUAAAAACGUUAAUAUAUUCUUUUUUUUUCCUUGUUUUUCCUCUUUAAUGGUCAAUAAUUAGUAAUUUUUAUGUUAGGAAAGAAAUAUUUUUUAAUGUAUAGAAAUAGUUGCUAAAAAUAUUUUAUGAAUGUAUAGUUACUAAGUCAAACAAAAUAAUUAAAUUAGAAUUUUUUUUAAAAACCCAUCCUAUUACAAAGCAAGUAAUGUGCAAUUUUUUUGAAUUGUAGAUCUCAUAAUUACCAAUAGUCAUUUGAAGAAAAUAUAUUUUUUUAAUGUACAUUUAGCUAUGUUAAGCUUUAGAUUAAGUUUAUCAUAAUUAGAGAUUAAGUUUAUCAGCUCAUGGCAGUUUGCUACAAAGUAUGUUGUUGCAGCUCCAUGUGUUCAUCAAACUAUUUGGUUACGGAACCUUGUAGACGCAAGCAUAUAGAUGUGAGGUAUCAUAUCGUGAAGUUGCAAAGGAUGAAACAAUUAAUCUAAUUUACAGUAGGAGUGAAGACCAAGUUGCUGAUAUAUUCACCAAGUCCCUCAAGUUGGUGUCGUUUCUGAAGCUUAGAAAGAUGCUUGGUAUGUGCACUUUGGAAGACCUUGUUUGAGGGAGGAUGUUUUGUAGCUUGUAUACAUUAAACUGAGUGUUAGCAAAUAUCAAUUUAAGGGAGGGAUUGUUGAAAGAGUCAAUGUUACUGUUGUGAGUCUAUUGAGUUGUGUUAGUCUCGAGGUUAUUUUGUUUGGUUUGCUGCAGGAUGUGGUUGAGUUUGCCUAGUCCAUAUGAGUUGGUUUUUACAUGGUUCAUGGUCUUAGCUAGUAGUUAAAAGUAGUGGACUAGUGGUCUUUAUUUUCUUAGCAAUUUCUCGUUGAUGUGUUGCCUAUUUAAAAGGCUUUUUGGUUAACAACAUCAUCAAAAAUCCUUUUCUUUUUUACUUUUCACGGUUUGUCCUUGUCCAAGAUUUUUCCUUAGUUUGUGACAUUCUCGUCAAAAUAAGGAAUUUUGAUUAAGAUGAGUUGUUUGAUCACCAAAAUAUACCNNNNNNNNNNNNNNNNNNNNNNNNNNNNNNNNNNNNNNNNNNNNNNNNNNNNNNNNNNNNNNNNNNNNNNNNNNNNNNNNNNNNNNNNNNNNNNNNNNNNAUCACAAAAAUAUACCUUUUAGGGUCUUUUUAAAGCUUAUAUUUAAUGUGGUCUUUGUAGUCACGUGAGUACCACAUCAUUGUUUCAUAAAAAUGAAGUCUUGGUAACUAAGACUUCAUUUUUUAACUGAAACCUCAAUUGAUAAUUACGACUUUAUUUUUGAAUUGACAUAUUUGAAUUGAAGUCUUAAUUAUCCGUUGAAACUUCAUUUUUUUAAUUGAAGUUUUAAUUUAAAUUUAUUUUUAUUUAUUUUAAUAAUAUUACUCCUAUGUAGUAAUAAAAUGACCAUUUUAAAUAUAAGUUUAUGGUUAUUUAUUUAUUUUCGUAAAAGGGCUGGCCCAAAACCCCAAAAUAAGAGCAGUAAUUGCAUACUUCGGCUUUAUAGCAAUGAAAUUGACGGAUAUUGUAGUUAAAAUAUGAGAAGAAGACUCCAAUACUAUUUUUUCUAUUUCUCAUUGGGCAUAAAUAGCCAUUGUACAAGGUUUUAGAUCCUAUAGUUUAGGACUGAUUGACUAAUUAUAAGGAAACUAUAGCUGUUGUGUAAGGAAUUCUAGUCUAUUUGUACAGCUAGCAGUGGAGACAAAUUAGGACGUGAAUGUUGGAGAGCCAACUUGGAGACAAUUACUCUUGAUUGUCAACACUCCCCCUCAAGUUGGUGUGUAGAUGUUGCUCAUGCCUAAACAUUCGAGACAACCAUUAAAUGCUUAACUUGACAUAGCUUUGGUCAGCACAUCAGCAAGCUGAUCUUGAGAUCGAACAUGAGGAACUUCAAUCAAUUUUGCUUCCAGUUUCUCCUUGAUAAAAUGUCUAUCAACCUC